AUUGAACGCUGGCGGCAGGCCUAACACAUGCAAGUCGAGCGGUAGCACAGAGAGCUUGCUCUCGGGUGACGAGCGGCGGACGGGUGAGUAAUGUCUGGGAAACUGCCUGAUGGAGGGGGAUAACUACUGGAAACGGUAGCUAAUACCGCAUAACGUCGCAAGACCAAAGUGGGGGACCUUCGGGCCUCAUGCCAUCAGAUGUGCCCAGAUGGGAUUAGCUAGUAGGUGGGGUAACGGCUCACCUAGGCGACGAUCCCUAGCUGGUCUGAGAGGAUGACCAGCCACACUGGAACUGAGACACGGUCCAGACUCCUACGGGAGGCAGCAGUGGGGAAUAUUGCACAAUGGGCGCAAGCCUGAUGCAGCCAUGCCGCGUGUGUGAAGAAGGCCUUCGGGUUGUAAAGCACUUUCAGCGGGGAGGAAGGCGGUGAGGUUAAUAACCUCAUCGAUUGACGUUACCCGCAGAAGAAGCACCGGCUAACUCCGUGCCAGCAGCCGCGGUAAUACGGAGGGUGCAAGCGUUAAUCGGAAUUACUGGGCGUAAAGCGCACGCAGGCGGUCUGUCAAGUCGGAUGUGAAAUCCCCGGGCUCAACCUGGGAACUGCAUUCGAAACUGGCAGGCUAGAGUCUUGUAGAGGGGGGUAGAAUUCCAGGUGUAGCGGUGAAAUGCGUAGAGAUCUGGAGGAAUACCGGUGGCGAAGGCGGCCCCCUGGACAAAGACUGACGCUCAGGUGCGAAAGCGUGGGGAGCAAACAGGAUUAGAUACCCUGGUAGUCCACGCCGUAAACGAUGUCGAUUUGGAGGUUGUGCCCUUGAGGCGUGGCUUCCGGAGCUAACGCGUUAAAUCGACCGCCUGGGGAGUACGGCCGCAAGGUUAAAACUCAAAUGAAUUGACGGGGGCCCGCACAAGCGGUGGAGCAUGUGGUUUAAUUCGAUGCAACGCGAAGAACCUUACCUGGUCUUGACAUCCACAGAACUUUCCAGAGAUGGAUUGGUGCCUUCGGGAACUGUGAGACAGGUGCUGCAUGGCUGUCGUCAGCUCGUGUUGUGAAAUGUUGGGUUAAGUCCCGCAACGAGCGCAACCCUUAUCCUUUGUUGCCAGCGGUUAGGCCGGGAACUCAAAGGAGACUGCCAGUGAUAAACUGGAGGAAGGUGGGGGUGACGUCAAGUCAUCAUGGCCCUUACGACCAGGGCUACACACGUGCUACAAUGGCAUAUACAAAGAGAAGCGACCUCGCGAGAGCAAGCGGACCUCAUAAAGUAUGUCGUAGUCCGGAUUGGAGUCCGCAACUCGACUCCAUGAAGUCGGAAUCGCUAGUAAUCGUAGAUCAGAAUGCUACGGUGAAUACGUUCCCGGGCCU
rnacentral:rRNA from 1 species